UACGGGGGGGGCAAGCGUUGUUCGGAAUUACUGGGCGUAAAGGGCGCGUAGGCGGCCUUCUAAGUCGGACGUGAAAUCCCUCGGCUUAACCGAGGAACUGCGUCCGAUACUGAAAGGCUUGAAUCCGGGAGAGGGAUGUGGAAUUCCAGGUGUAGCGGUGAAAUGCGUAGAGAUCGGGAGGAACACCGGUGGCGAAGGCGGUCUUCUGGACGGUGACUGACGCUGAGGCGCGAAAGCGUGGGGAGCAAACGGG
rnacentral:rRNA from 1 species